GAGGAUGCAAGCGUUAUCCGGAUUUAUUGGGUUUAAAGGGUGCGUAGGCUGAAGAUCAAGUCAGCGGUGAAAUGUCCCGGCUCAACCGGGGCCUUGCCGUUGAAACUGGUCAUCUGGAAUGCGGAUGCCGUGGGAGGAAUGUGUGGUGUAGCGGUGAAAUGCAUAGAUAUCACACAGAACACCGAUUGCGAAGGCAUCUCACGAAUCCGCUAUUGACGCUGAGGCACGAAAGCGUGGGGAUCAAA
rnacentral:rRNA from 1 species